GGAUGAGCCCUGUGCGGCGGCGGGCCGGGAACCAUGUCAGGCGGGGAACCGAGCAGCAUUAACCGGAGUUUCGCUGUGCGAUGCAGACAGUUUGUCCGUU
rnacentral:SRP_RNA from 3 species